UACGUAGGGCGCAAGCGUUGUCCGAAAUUAUUGGGCGUAAAGAGCUCGUAGGUGGUUUGUUACGUCUGCUGUGAAAACCUAGGGCUUAACCCUGGGCCUGCAGUGGAUACGGGCAGACUAGAGGUAGGUAGGGGAGAAUGGAAUUCCCGGUGUAGCGGUGAAAUGCGCAGAUAUCGGGAGGAACACCGGUGGCGAAGGCGGUUCUCUGGGCCUUACCUGACACUGAGGAGCGAAAGCGUGGGGAGCGAACAGG
rnacentral:rRNA from 1 species